CAAGUCGAACGAACUCUGGGUAUUGAUUGGUGCUUGCAUCAUGAUUUACAUUUGAGUGAGUGGCGAACUGGUGAGUAACACGUGGGAAACCUGCCCAGAAGCGGGGGAUAACACCUGGAAACAGAUGCUAAUACCGCAUAACAACUUGGACCGCAUGGUCCGAGCUUGAAAGAUGGCUUCGGCUAUCACUUUUGGAUGGUCCCGCGGCGUAUUAGCUAGAUGGUGGGGUAACGGCUCACCAUGGCAAUGAUACGUAGCCGACCUGAGAGGGUAAUCGGCCACAUUGGGACUGAGACACGGCCCAAACUCCUACGGGAGGCAGCAGUAGGGAAUCUUCCACAAUGGACGAAAGUCUGAUGGAGCAACGCCGCGUGAGUGAAGAAGGGUUUCGGCUCGUAAAACUCUGUUGUUAAAGAAGAACAUAUCUGAGAGUAACUGUUCAGGUAUUGACGGUAUUUAACCAGAAAGCCACGGCUAACUACGUGCCAGCAGCCGCGGUAAUACGUAGGUGGCAAGCGUUGUCCGGAUUUAUUGGGCGUAAAGCGAGCGCAGGCGGUUUUUUAAGUCUGAUGUGAAAGCCUUCGGCUCAACCGAAGAAGUGCAUCGGAAACUGGGAAACUUGAGUGCAGAAGAGGACAGUGGAACUCCAUGUGUAGCGGUGAAAUGCGUAGAUAUAUGGAAGAACACCAGUGGCGAAGGCGGCUGUCUGGUCUGUAACUGACGCUGAGGCUCGAAAGUAUGGGUAGCAAACAGGAUUAGAUACCCUGGUAGUCCAUACCGUAAACGAUGAAUGCUAAGUGUUGGAGGGUUUCCGCCCUUCAGUGCUGCAGCUAACGCAUUAAGCAUUCCGCCUGGGGAGUACGGCCGCAAGGCUGAAACUCAAAGGAAUUGACGGGGGCCCGCACAAGCGGUGGAGCAUGUGGUUUAAUUCGAAGCUACGCGAAGAACCUUACCAGGUCUUGACAUACUAUGCAAAUCUAAGAGAUUAGACGUUCCCUUCGGGGACAUGGAUACAGGUGGUGCAUGGUUGUCGUCAGCUCGUGUCGUGAGAUGUUGGGUUAAGUCCCGCAACGAGCGCAACCCUUAUUAUCAGUUGCCAGCAUUAAGUUGGGCACUCUGGUGAGACUGCCGGUGACAAACCGGAGGAAGGUGGGGAUGACGUCAAAUCAUCAUGCCCCUUAUGACCUGGGCUACACACGUGCUACAAUGGAUGGUACAACGAGUUGCGAACUCGCGAGAGUAAGCUAAUCUCUUAAAGCCAUUCUCAGUUCGGAUUGUAGGCUGCAACUCGCCUACAUGAAGUCGGAAUCGCUAGUAAUCGCGGAUCAGCAUGCCGCGGUGAAUACGUUCCCGGGCCUUGUACACACCGCCCGUCACACCAUGAGAGUUUGUAACACCCAAAGUCGGUGGGGUAACCUUUUAGGAACCAGCCGCCUAAGGUGGGACAG
rnacentral:rRNA from 1 species